GGCACGCGCCGUGGGCGCCGCAGCCCGCGCCCACCGCUCCCGGGGUCCCUGAAUCCACGUGUGCCUGCGAGGCUCGCUGGGGAUGCCGGCUGGGAAGGAGGAGGGGGCGGCCGAGAAGGGGCUCCUGCCCUUUGGGAUCCCAAGGUAGUGCCUGGAGCUCGUGCACAUGGGCGUGCGGACGUGCGCGCGCGGAGAGCGGCCAGGACUAGGGAAAGAGGAGGAAGGGCAGGAGACCGGGGGCCGUCUCCUGCCUUCCGCGCCAGAUGGCCUCUGCGGCCCAGCUUCGGGCUGCGGGCAAGCAGUUCUGAGCGUGGAGGCGUCCCUCGCCCAUCCCGGCGUUUCCUCUGCGCCCCAGCAGUCCGUGGUCGGGUCCUGGCCCCGGCCCUCACUGAUGUGGAGAAAGAGAA